CAGAACUAAUUAUUUACACAAACCGUUUUAAGAUAGCGUAAAGUGUGUGAUAUUUUGAAUAGCUAUAUACUGAAUCUGAAUGAAUGUAAAACUGAAUUUUUGUUUCAGUACAUUAUUUCGUUCUAUAUACUAUUUCGUUGUACUUGGGAGCAGCCUCUCCAUAAAUGAGGGUAAGGCUAGUCGACAUUCACCUCUCUCAGACCCUGCAUAAAGCGGGAGCCUUGUGCACUGGGUACGACGAUACUAUUUCGUUGUAAUUGAAGGCUUGACAAAGUAUAAUGUAGGGUCGAUUUUAAGACAGUUCUGCUUGCAUUACUGUCAACCUGAAAAUUCAGAAGAAAUGCUUGCAUGGUUUUACCAACUCUAGUAUAUUUAUUGUCGCCCGCCUAUAUUGUAACGCAUGGGUUAGUAACAGCACGUGAUCAGUGUAAAUCACAAUCUCUAUAGCCC
rnacentral:lncRNA from 1 species